UUAUUGGUGAAAGUCCAAUCCGAGUAAGUGCCAAGACGCUCGGUAGCUGACAGGUAACUGGUAGAGAAAUCUUAAGGUUAGAGCCCUGGAUCAGCAAACGAACAGAUCGUAACAUCA
rnacentral:ncRNA from 1 species